AGGAUCAUUAAACUUCAUAGGUACAUUGAUCAUGACUUGCAGAUGACCCCUAUUGAUUUUGAGGUCACUAGGUCAAAGGUCAAGGUCACGGUGACCUGAAAUAGUAAAAUGGUUUCCGGAUGAUAACUCAAGAACGCAUACGCCUAGGAUCAUGAAACUUCAUGGGUAGAUUGAUCAUGACUCGCAGAUGACUCCUAUUGAUUUUGAGGUCACUAGGUCAAAGGUCAAGGUCACGGUGACCCGAAAUAGUAAAAUGAUUUUCGGAUGAUAAUUCAAGAACGCAUAUGCCUAGGAUCAUGAAACUUUAUAGGUAGAUUGAUCAUGACUCGCAGAUGACCCCUAUUGAUUUUCAGGUCACUAGGUCAAAGGUCAAGGUCACGGUGACCUGAAAUAGUAAAAUGAUUUUCGGAUGAUAACUCAAGAACGCAUAUGCCUAGGAUCAUGAAACUUCAUAGGUAGAUUGAUCAUGACUCGCAGAUGACCCCUAUUGAUUUUGAGGUCACAAGGUCAAAGGUUAAGGUCACUGUGACCCGAAAUAGUAAAAUGGUUUCCGGAUGAUAACUCAAGAACGCUUAUGCCUAGGAUCAUGAAACUUCAUAGAUAUAUUGAUCAUGACUCGCAGAUGACUCCUGUUGAUUUUCAGGUCACUAGGUCAAAGGUCAAGGUCACGGUGACCUGAAAUAGUAAAAUGGUUUCCGGAUGAUAACUCAAGAACGCUUAUGCCUAGGAUCAUGAAACUUGAUAGGUAGAUUGAUCAUGACUGGCAGAUGACCCCUAUUGAUUUUCAGGUCACUAUAUCAAAGGUCAAGGUCAUGGUGACCUGAAAUAGUAAAAUGGUUUCCGGAUGAUAACUCAAGAACGCUAAUGGCUACGAUCAUGAAACUUCAUAGGUACAUUGAUCAUGACUCGCAGAUGACCCCUAUUGAUUUUGAGGUUACUAGGUCAAAGGUCAAGGUCAUGGUGACCCGAAAUAGUAAAAUGGUUUCUGGAUGAUAACUCAAGAACGCUUAUGCCUAGGAUCAUGAAACUUCAUAGGUACAUUGAUCAUGACUCGCAGAUGACCCCUAUUGAUUUUCAGGUCACUAGGCCAAAGGUCAAGGUCACGGUGACACGAAAUAGUUAAAUGGUUUCCUGAUGAUAACUCAAGAACGCUUAUGGCUAGGAUCAUGAAACUUCAUAGGUACAUUGAUCAUGACUGGCAGAUGACCCCUAUUGAUUUUCAGGUCACUAGGUCAAAGGUCAAGGUCACAGUGACAAAAAACAUAUUCACACAAUGGCUGUCACUACAACGGAGAGCCCAUAUGGGGGGCAUGCAUGUUUUACAAACAGCCCUUGUUUUCAUCAUGAGACUAUCCUUUACCCUUUACUUAAAGAAACAGUAAACUGUUGUUUGCUUAGCAAAGCUUUUUACUUCAACCGUCUGUUUUUCAAUGCUUUCUUGUAAUCUGCCACAUUUAAAUGCUCAAGAUUCCAUAUCUUUGUUCAAACAGAAGAGUUUUAUCCGGGAUACCCAAUGAAGAGCGUCUUUGUGAGAAUGUAUUUUCAGUUCUCUUUACUGGGGCAGUAGUUCUUCUUCUUCUUUGUUUUAACGUUUUGAAAGGACUGAAAAGUUUAAAAAUUAACACACCUGCGGUAAGGAAUAUUUGUUGAAUGUGUCCAAAACACCAUUAAUGGUCUUUGCAUCUGCCCUAACCACUUCAGUGGAGUUCAAGUGUUCAAUUACAACUUCCAUUGUGUCCAUAUGAAAAUAUCUUACCAUGUUAUUGCUAAACAUCAACAUUCGUUGUAUCAGGUUCAGAGACAGUCAU